rnacentral:hammerhead_ribozyme from 1 species
AAUAAACUGAGGAGUCCCACAAUAGGACGAAACGGUCGUCCAGU